AACAAAAACUUUGACUUGAUCCAGUGAGAAAUAUGGAGGGGGAAAAAAAAAAACACUGCUGGGGUAGGGGUAUAAAUUGGAACAAAGUUUUUAGAUGAAUUUAACAAUGCUUGCCAAAUUUUAUAAUGUGCACACCUUUUGACGAAAGUAUAAGUUGCUUAUGGCUGAGGCUAACAUGUCCCUGAGAAUAAAACAGACUGAAAAUACUAAGUGUUAUUCAGUUU
rnacentral:lncRNA from 1 species